CCCAGCUGGCCCCACCCUGGGACCUGGGCUCAUGAAUGACCCAAAGCACCUCACCCAUCACAGCAGGGACACUCAGCAAGACACCGGGACCGAAACCUGCCCACGGCUUCCAGUAUUGCUGUCAUGACAAGCAGAGGAAAGCAGGAUACCCCUUACCCUGACAGAGCAACCAACAUGCUGCUGGGACAAGUACAUUUGCUUUCUUUACAAAUGCCUGCAACACACAGAGUGGCAAGGAGCUUCUUGAAAUGGUUAUGCAUCAUUGAACUUAACUGGCACCCACCCAGACCCCCAGAUGGGAGAAGAGGAGCUUUUUCUAAGCCCUUCCCACAUUCUUGUGCAAAUAGAAAGGAUGAAUGAUCACUAUCCUCUGUGCCAGACAGUUUUCUGGGCCAAAUUCACACACAAGCGUAGGAAAGCCAAGGGGAACUGAAACUGGUGAAGCUCUCCCUUCCGCUUCUCGCAGUGACUGUAUUUCAUAUGUUCAAAUCCUUCUGGGAUUGCUUAGACUGACUUUGCGUAAUUAUUUUCAUCCUUGGAUUAAACAGGCCAAAUAUGUAAGCUGAA